rnacentral:rRNA from 1 species
UACGUAGGGGGCAAGCGUUGUCCGGAUUUAUUGGGCGUAAAGAGCUCGUAGGCGGCCCUAAAAGUCCCAUGUGAAAGCCCACGGCUUAACCGUGGAAGUGUAUGGGAAACUGUAGGGCUUGAGUACCAAAGAGGAUCGCGGAAUUCCCGGUGUAGAGGUGAAAUUCGUAGAUAUCGGGAGGAACACCAGUGGCGAAGGCGGCGAUCUGGGUGGUUACUGGACGCUGAGGUGCGAAAGCGUGGGGAGCAAACAGGAGU